rnacentral:rRNA from 1 species
AUGCCCUUUCUCGCGGCAGGUUUGGCAAGAUUGCUUCAGCUGGUGCUACCCCCGAGCCAACGCGCCUGCGCCCUCCGACUCAUUCCUGAACUGGUGCAUGCUACCACUCAGGCCACGCCAGCGGCUCAUAGGAAAGGCAUCUCCUCGCUCAUCCUCCUGAUCAGCUGGUCCAUAUGGAAGCAUCGCAACUCCUGCGUUUUCGACGGCACCGCACCCUCCCCACCAAAGCUUUUCCAUGACAUCCAGGAGGAGGCUCACUUAUGGGCCAAGGCCGGAGCCACGGGCUUAGCCACCAUCUUGCCGUAG